rnacentral:snRNA from 1 species
GUGCUCUUUCAGCAACACAUAUACUAAAAUACAGAGAAGAUUAGCAUGGCCCUUGUGUGAGGAUGACAUGUGAAUUCAUUUUCCACAUUUUU